rnacentral:rRNA from 1 species
AGUCCAGACUCCUACGGGAGGCAGCAGUGGGGAAUAUUGGGCAAUGGACGCAAGUCUGACCCAGCAACGCCGCGUGAAGGAAGAAGGCUUUCGGGUUGUAAACUUCUUUUAAGGGGGAAGAGCAGAAGACGGUACCCCUUGAAUAAGCCCCGGCUAACUACGUGCCAGCAGCCGCGGUAAUACGUAGGGGGCAAGCGUUAUCCGGAUUUACUGGGUGUAAAGGGAGCGUAGACGGUUGUGCAAGUCAGAAGUGAAAGCCCGGGGCUCAACUCCGGGACUGCUUUUGAAACUGUGAAACUGGAGUGCAGGAGAGGUAAGCGGAAUUCCUGGUGUAGCGGUGAAAUGCGUAGAUAUCAGGAGGAACACCAGUGGCGAAGGCGGCUUACUGGACUGUAACUGACGUUGAGGCUCGAAAGCGUGGGGAGCAAACAGGAUUAGAUACCCCGGUAU